rnacentral:rRNA from 1 species
CCCUUAGAUGUUCUGGGUCGCACGCGCGCUACAAUGAUGAAUUCAACGAGUUUAUAACCUUGGUUGAAAAGCCUGGGUAAUCUUUUGAACUUUCGUCGUGAUGGGGCUAGACCCUUGCAAUUAUUGGUCUCCAACGAGGAAUUCCUAGUAAACGCAAGUCAUCAGCUUGCAUUGAUUACGUCCCUGCCCUUUGUACACACCGCCCGUCGCUCCUACCGAUUGAGUGGUCCGGUGAGGCUUUGGGAUCUGAGCGGAAAGAGCGUUUCGCUGUUUCUGCCCGGAAAACUCAGUCGAACCUUAUCAUUUAGAGGAAGGAGAAGUCGUGACA